rnacentral:rRNA from 1 species
ACGCUCGACACCUACGGGGGCAGCAGUGGGGAAUAUUGCACAAUGGGGGAAACCCUGAUGCAGCGACGCCGCGUGAAGGAUGAAGUAUUUCGGUAUGUAAACUUCUAUCAGCAGGGAAGAAAGUGACGGUACCUGACUAAGAAGCCCCGGCUAACUACGUGUCAGCAGCCGCGGUAAUCUGAGCGGGCUGGCAAGGC